UACGUAGGAGACGAGCGUUGUCCGGAGUUACUGGGCGUAAAGGGUGCGCAGGCGGCCUGGCGCGUCGCGAGUGAAAUCUCCCGGCUCAACUGGGAGGGUGGUCGCGAGACGGCGAGGCUUGAGGCUCGGUGAGGGGCGUGGAAUUCCGGGUGGAGCGGUGAAAUGCGUAGAGAUCCGGAGGAACACCAACGGCGUAGGCAGCGCCCUGGACGAGACCUGACGCUCAGGCACGAAAGCGCGGGGAGCGAACAGG
rnacentral:rRNA from 1 species